UUUGGAAUCUUGCGCAAUGGGCGAAAGCCUGACGCAGCAACGCCGUGUGUGCGAUGAAGGCCCUCGGGUCGUAAAGCACUGUCAACAGGGAAGAUGGGUUCAUGCUCUCAUAGCGUAUGGAUUUGACGGUACCUGUGGAGGAAGCACCGGCUAACUCUGUGCCAGCAGCCGCGGUAAGACAGAGGGUGCAAGCGUUGUUCGGAAUUAUUGGGCGUAAAGCGCGCGUAGGCGGCGAGUUAAGUCGGAUGCGAAAGCCCGGGGCUCAACCUCGGAAGUGCAUCCGAAACUGGCUUGCUUGAAUCUUGGAGGGGGCAGUGGAAUUCCCGGUGUAGAGGUGAAAUUCGUAGAUAUCGGGAGGAACACCAGUGGCGAAGGCGACUGCCUGGACAAUGAUUGACGCUGAGGUGCGAAAGCGUGGGUAGCAAACAGGAUUAGAUAC
rnacentral:rRNA from 1 species